CAACUUGGUCUGGUAAUCAAAGAGGAUUUUAAUGGUAAACUCAACAGUAAAAAGUGACCCAUUAGCAACACAGCAAAGUCCGGAAACCAUCAUUUCAGGCAGCAGGAAACUGAGGAGCGUGCAGGCAGGCAGACACUUGGGUAGCCUCCAACAGUAAUCUCAAAUGUACGGAUGACAGACGUGAGAAAAUUCGACUGGGGAAAAAUGUCAUCAACCUCAGCUCACAGCUGGUGUCUGUACAACUCAGUAGCACGACCAGGCUUCCUGUUCAGUGGACAGCGGAGCAGGAAACAGGAAGGAACACAGAGGGUGUGGGAGAGGAGGAGGAGGGUGGUGUGUGUGUGUGUGUGUGUGUGUGUCAGGAGAAAUGGAGUUUGGGUUAAAGCACUCCCACAAACAUACACACCCACAUAUACAGGGAACUUAUAGCUCUGUACAUUUGUCACAUUUAUCGUUACGCUCAACUUGACUCAACCCUUACAAGAAAGUCCACGUACUGUAAAUGUACCAUACUGGUGACUGAACACAUUUCUUCAUUUGAGAAGAUUCUCAUACUUCUGAGAAUAACUACACAGUUUGACACCUCAUUAUUAACAAUCUGAGAAGUGUGCCUGGUAGUGAUAAACAGAGAAUUAUCGAUCUGCGGCCCCACUCGGAGCUGAAUUGUGAACUCAUUGUUCAGCUGUCUGGCCCACAACUUUACUGUUUUGACGCACUCUGACAGGUUUGUUUUCAGCCACACAAGGCAGCUAGGUUCUAAAAACCCACUGUACACCACCUUCUGAGCACCAAACAAUAGCUAAUAACCAGCCCUCUCCUCUCCUUUGUGCCACAAUAUAAAAGGGAAUAUGUCGAAGGAAUAUUAUUAUUAUUAUCAAACAUGCACACAGUGCUGUUAUAGUUUCGUCUCAGCAUUUUGCAUUGUAUAUAAAUAAACUGUGUGAAAUGUGUGUAUAUACACUCACCGGCCACUUG